rnacentral:rRNA from 1 species
AUAUCAAUAAGCGGAGGAAAAGAAACUAACAAGGAUUCCCCUAGUAACUGCGAGUGAAGCGGGAAGAGCUCAAAUUUAAAAUCUGGUAGUCUUUGGCUGCCCGAGUUGUAAUCUAGAGAAGCGUUAUCCGUGCUGGACCGUGUAUAAGUCUCCUGGGAUGGAGCGUCAUAGAGGGUGAGAAUCCCGUCUUUGACAUGGACUACCAGUGCUUUGUGAUGCGCUCUCGAAGAGUCGAGUUGUUUGGGAAUGCAGCUCUAAAUGGGUGGUAAAUUCCAUCUAAAGCUAAAUAUUGGCGAGAGACCGAUAGCGAACAAGUACCGUGAGGGAAAGAUGAAAAGAACUUUGGAAAGAGAGUUAAACAGUACGUGAAAUUGUUGAAAGGGAAACGCUUGAAGUCAGUCGCGUUGGCUAGGAAUCAGCCUUGCUUUUGCUUGGUGUACUUCUUAGUUAACGGGUCAGCAUCAAUUUUGACCGGUGGAAAAAGGCCAGUUGAAUGUGGCACCUUCGGGUGUGUUAUAGCUUCUGGUCGUAUACAUCGGUUGGGAUUGAGGAACUCAUCGCCGUAAGGUUGGAGGAUGCUGGCAUAAUGGCUUUAAUCGACCCGUCUUGAAACACGGACCAAGGAGUCUAACAUGCCUGCGAGUGUUUGGGUGGAAAACCCGAGCGCGUAAUGAAAGUGAAAGUUGAGAUCCCUGUCGUGGGGAGCAUCGACGCCCGGACCAGACCUUCUGUGACGGAUCCGCGGUAGAGCAUGUAUGUUGGGACCCGAAAGAUGGUGAACUAUGCCUGAAUAGGGUGAAGCCAGAGGAAACUCUGGUGGAGGCUCGUAGCGAUUCUGACGUGCAAAUCGAUCGUCAAAUUUGGGUAUAGGGGCGAAAGACUAAUCGAACCAUCUAGUAGCUGGU